rnacentral:lncRNA from 8 species
AUGGGUAGUUUGGCUGGACGAGGUUUGAGCCCCAGGCCAAAUCCCCGUACCUUUUCUGGGCAACCAGUGAAUGGACAGGUCCCGUGCUUCGGGGUAAUGGGUACUGUGGCGAGACCAAGUAUUUUUAGGCCGGUACGCGCAAUACCAGCACCCCGCAUUUGCCAGGAGGAAGUGGGCAUCCAGCCAGUAAGAGCAAUGCCAGUUCUGCGCUCGAGACCGCCAGUACGCCUCUGCGGUCCAGUGCGUCAGCCCAGUCCGACUAGUCCUGUUCCCGCUCCCCGCACUAGCCCUGAGGUGCGUGUUCCCAAGCUGAUACCUCCAGUACCAGCACCACGCAUCAGGCUUCCAGUGCGUCAACCCAGUCCGACUCGUCCUGUUCCCGCUCCCCGCACUAGCCCUGAGGUGCGUGUUCCCAGGCUGAUACCUCCAGUACCAGCAUCACGCAUCAGGCUUCCAGUGCGUCAACCCAGUCCGUCUCGGCCUGUUCCCGUUCCCGUUCCCCGCACUAGCCCUGAGGUGCGUGUUCCCAGGCUGAUACCUCCAGUACCAGCACCACGCAUCAGGCUUCCAGUGCGUCAGCCCAGUCCGACUCGUCCUGUUCCCGCUCCCCGCACUAGCCCUGAGGUGCGUGUUCCCAGGCUGAUACCUCCAGUACCAGCAUCACGCAUCAGGCUUCCAGUGCGUCAACCCAGUCCGACUCGGCCUGUUCCCGUUCCCGUUCCCCGCACUAGCCCUGAGGUGCGUGUUCCCAGGCUGAUACCUCCAGUACCAGCACCACGCAUCAGGCUUCCAGUGCGUCAGCCCAGUCCGACUCGUCCUGUUCCCGCUCCCCGCACUAGCCCUGAGGUGCGUGUUCCCAGGCUGAUACCUCCAGUACCAGCACCACGCAUCAGGCUUCCAGUGCGUCAACCCAGUCCGACUCGGCCUGUUCCCGCUCCCCGCACUAGCCCUGAGGUGCGUGUCCCCAGACUGGCACAUCCAGUACCAGUACCACGCAUCAGGCUUCCAGUGCGUCAGCCCAGCCUCGAGAGUUCGGCAAUAGUGUGCGGUCCAGAGUAUCCGGCAACAGUGUGCGGUCCAGAGUAUCCGGCAACAGUGUGCGGUCCAGAGUAUCCGGCAACAGUGUGCGGUCCAAAGUAUCCGGCAACAGUGUGCGGUCCAGAGUAUCCGGCACCAGUGUGCGGUCCAGAGUAUCCGGCACCAGUGUGCGGUCCGGAGUAUCCGGCAACAGUGUCUAGUCCGGAACCGAGGGAGACUGCCUGUGACCCGGAACCGAGGGAGUCUGCCUGCGACCCGGAACCGAAGGGGUCUGCCUGCGACCCGGAACCGAAGGGGUCUGCCUGCGACCCGGAACCGAAGGGGUCUGCCUGCGACCCGGAACCGAAGGGGUCUGCCUGCGACCCGGAACCAAAGGGGUCUGCCUGUGACCCAGAACCGGGUGAGUCUGCCUAUGACCCGGAACCAAGGGAGUCUAUCAGCAACCCGGAACUGAGUAAGUCUAUUGACGAUCCAGAACUAAAUAUGAGUAACGGUGUAUCAAAUAAGUCUGCCUACAGUGUGGAACGGAAGAGGUCUGCCUACGAUCUGGAACGAGGGGAGUCUGCCUACGGCCCGAAACUGAUCAAGUCUGUCUGCAUUCUGGAGGACAGUAGGCCGGAGCCAGAACCACCUCCUGUAUAG